rnacentral:rRNA from 1 species
UACGGAAGGCAGCAGGGGGGAAUAUUGCACAAUGGGCGCAAGCCUGAUGCAGCCAUGCCGCGUGUAUGAAGAAGGCCUUCGGGUUGUAAAGUACUUUCAGUCGUGAGGAAGGUGUUAAGGUUAAUAACCUUAGCAAUUGACGUUAGCGACAGAAGAAGCACCGGCUAACUCCGUGCCAGCAGCCGCGGUAAUACGGAGGGUGCGAGCGUUAAUCGGAAUUACUGGGCGUAAAGGGCACGCAGGCGGUUAAUUAAGUUGGAUGUGAAAUCCCCGGGCUUAACCUGGGAAUGGCAUUCAAGACUGGUUAGCUAGAGUCUUGUAGAGGGGGUAGAAUUCCAUGUGUAGCGGUGAAUGCGUAGAGAUGUGGAGGAAUACCGGUGGCGAAGGCGGCCCCUGGACAAAGACUGACGCUCAUGUGCGAAAGCGUGGGGAGCAAACAGGGAUUAGAUACC